GAAUGUGAGGGCAAUCUGGCUGCCACCUCUGUCACCCCAUUCAUCACCCGGGGUGAUUCAGUUGAGCUGGCUGACUAGGCUGGUGUCCUUUUCCUCCCUCGCUGCUUCAUGCACAUUCCUCCCAAAGCUACAAGUAGCUGUGCUCCCUUGCAGAACCUCCAAAUAGGCUCUCAAGAUAUUAUGCACUAGUGAGAAUGGAAGAGGAAUACAGG
rnacentral:snRNA from 1 species